AGUGAACGCUGGCGGUAGGCCUAACACAUGCAAGUCGAACGGCAGCACAGUAAGAGCUUGCUCUUACGGGUGGCGAGUGGCGGACGGGUGAGGAAUACAUCGGAAUCUACUUUUUCGUGGGGGAUAACGUAGGGAAACUUACGCUAAUACCGCAUACGACCUACGGGUGAAAGCAGGGGAUCUUCGGACCUUGCGCGAUUGAAUGAGCCGAUGUCGGAUUAGCUAGUUGGCGGGGUAAAGGCCCACCAAGGCGACGAUCCGUAGCUGGUCUGAGAGGAUGAUCGGCCACACUGGAACUGAGACACGGUCCAGACUCCUACGGGAGGCAGCAGUGGAGAAUAUUGGGCAAUGGGCGCAAGCCUGAUCCAGCCAUACCGCGUGGGUGAAGAAGGCCUUCGGGUUGUAAAGCCCUUUUGUUGGGAAAGAAAAGCAGCAGGUUAAUACCCCGCUGUUCUGACGGUACCCAAAGAAUAAGCACCGGCUAACUUCGUG
rnacentral:rRNA from 1 species